rnacentral:rRNA from 1 species
UACGGGGGGGGCAAGCGUUGUUCGGAAUUACUGGGCGUAAAGGGUUCGUAGGUGGCCCGCUAAGUCAGACGUGAAAUCCCUCAGCUCAACUGGGGAACUGCGUCUGAGACUGGUGGGCUUGAGUGCAGGAGAGGAACGCGGAAUUCCAGGUGUAGCGGUGAAAUGCGUAGAUAUCUGGAGGAACACCGGUGGCGAAGGCGGCGUUCUGGACUGUUACUGACGCUGAGGAACGAAAGCCAGGGGAGCAAACGGG